UUGAACGCUGGCGGCAGGCCUAACACAUGCAAGUCGAGCGGUAGCACAGAGAGCUUGCUCUCGGGUGACGAGCGGCGGACGGGUGAGUAAUGUCUGGGAAACUGCCUGAUGGAGGGGGAUAACUACUGGAAACGGUAGCUAAUACCGCAUAAUGUCGCAAGACCAAAGUGGGGGACCUUCGGGCCUCAUGCCAUCAGAUGUGCCCAGAUGGGAUUAGCUAGUAGGUGGGGUAACGGCUCACCUAGGCGACGAUCCCUAGCUGGUCUGAGAGGAUGACCAGCCACACUGGAACUGAGACACGGUCCAGACUCCUACGGGAGGCAGCAGUGGGGAAUAUUGCACAAUGGGCGCAAGCCUGAUGCAGCCAUGCCGCGUGUGUGAAGAAGGCCUUCGGGUUGUAAAGCACUUUCAGCGGGGAGGAAGGCGUUAAGGUUAAUAACCUUGGCGAUUGACGUUACCCGCAGAAGAAGCACCGGCUAACUCCGUGCCAGCAGCCGCGGUAAUACGGAGGGUGCAAGCGUUAAUCGGAAUUACUGGGCGUAAAGCGCACGCAGGCGGUCUGUCAAGUCGGAUGUGAAAUCCCCGGGCUCAACCUGGGAACUGCAUUCGAAACUGGCAGGCUAGAGUCUUGUAGAGGGGGGUAGAAUUCCAGGUGUAGCGGUGGAAUGCGUAGAGAUCUGGAGGAAUACCGGUGGCGAAGGCGGCCCCCUGGACAAAGACUGACGCUCAGGUGCGAAAGCGUGGGGAGCAAACAGGAUUAGAUACCCUGGUAGUCCACGCCGUAAACGAUGUCGAUUUGGAGGUUGUGCCCUUGAGGCGUGGCUUCCGGAGCUAACGCGUUAAAUCGACCGCCUGGGGAGUACGGCCGCAAGGUUAAAGCUCAAAUGAAUUGACGGGGGCCCGCACAAGCGGUGGAGCAUGUGGUUUAAUUCGAUGCAACGCGAAGAACCUUACCUGGUCUUGACAUCCACAGAACUUUCCAGAGAUGGAUUGGUGCCUUCGGGAACUGUGAGACAGGUGCUGCAUGGCUGUCGUCAGCUCGUGUUGUGAAAUGUUGGGUUAAGUCCCGCAACGAGCGCAACCCUUAUCCUUUGUUGCCAGCGGUUCGGCCGGGAACUCAAAGGAGACUGCCAGUGAUAAACUGGAGGAAGGUGGGGAUGACGUCAAGUCAUCAUGGCCCUUACGACCAGGGCUACACACGUGCUACAAUGGCAUAUACAAAGAGAAGCGACCUCGCGAGAGCAAGCGGACCUCAUAAAGUAUGUCGUAGUCCGGAUUGGAGUCUGCAACUCGACUCCAUGAAGUCGGAAUCGCUAGUAAUCGUAGAUCAGAAUGCUACGGUGAAUACGUUCCCGGGCCUUGUACACACCGCCCGUCACACCAUGGGAGUGGGUUGCAAAAGAAGUAGGUAGCUUAACCUUCGGGAGGGCGCUUACCACUUUGUGAUUCAUGACUGGGGUG
rnacentral:rRNA from 1 species